rnacentral:tRNA from 1 species
AGUGUAGAACACCCUAUGGGACUUAAAAUUCCAUAUACGUACUGAAAGUACGCUAUACUA